rnacentral:tRNA from 1 species
GAGGGUACAGCUCAGUGGUAGAGUGUAUGCUUAGCAUGCACGAGGUCCUGGGCUCAAUCCCCAGUACCUCUG